GGGCGUGUGGUGUAGUGGUAUCACGUCUGCUUUGCAUGCAGAAGGCCCCGGGUUCGAACCCCGGCAUGUCCA
rnacentral:tRNA from 1 species